rnacentral:rRNA from 1 species
UACGUAGGGUGCGAGCGUUGUCCGGAAUUAUUGGGCGUAAAGAGCUCGUAGGCGGUCUGUCGCGUCUGCUGUGAAAUCCCGAGGCUCAACCUCGGGCUUGCAGUGGGUACGGGCAGGCUAGAGUGCGGUAGGGGAGAAUGGAACUCCUGGUGUAGCGGUGGAAUGCGCAGAUAUCAGGAAGAACACCGAUGGCGAAGGCAGUUCCUCGUCGGGCCGA